GAUUAAAUGGCUGAAAAUGAUAGGCGGUAAACUGUAAAUUUAUUUAUGAGGAUUUCCUCUUUAAUCA
rnacentral:tRNA from 1 species